rnacentral:lncRNA from 1 species
GAUAACCUUCCUCAUUUCUAUGAUGCAUAUGAGGAUCAUUGAUAAUGUCUAUAGUGAAUGUAGUGAUAAUGCAAGUGAUUUGUUGUUUUAGGCUACGUGAAGGAGGAGAGCUUUUCGAUAGAUACUUUCAAGGUAAGGGAACAAUACACUUCCGACAUAGGAUCCGACGUAGGAUUGUAUGUGCUAUACUGAACUUGGUGGUGUGUUUUAUGUGCAGAGGUGGGAACUAUAUGAGUAGGACGCAAAGACUGUUAUGAUUCAAACAAAAUUAUGAGUUUGCAUGUUGUCAUCUCGGUGUUGUACACCUAGAUCUCAUACCUGAGGUGAUUAAAAGAAUCUUUACUUCUGUUUAUACAUAUCUUAUUGACGUUUUGUCGCCAUCUUAUUGAAGUUUACUUGAAACUCUUUGCUUAGUAUUUUUCUGUUUAUCUCAACAGAAGACACUUCUGAGUUGAAUGAAAUAGAUUCUGGUUUUGUUAGAUUACAAUGAGGCGAGAAUCAACUUAUAAAAAUUGAAUUUUAGAUAAGAGACAAGUUCUUGGAUAUGUCACUCUAUCUAUGAGGGAUGAUUAAACCAAGUUGAAAAAAUAGAAGCUUAAAGAUUUAUAGGAACGCCAAUUGAAAUUCAUCAUUCCCCCUACAUAUCUAUUUGUUAAUCUGCGUCAUCUUCUUUACUUCCAAAUUUCUCUUUUGGUUUGCUUCAGAGUCAAAGUAAGACAGCGUUAACAUUUAUCUCUGGGACAAGCAGGCAUAGAAUUAUGAAAAAAAUGUUCCAUUUAUUACACUAUUUCUCAAAUUAUUAGCUGCGACCCUACUCUAUCCGGUCCAGUAUUACAACAAUAGAGACUUUCAUAUGACUUUUAGGUUUGCAAAAUGAUUGAUUUGUAUCUUCUUAUCUUUUUAUAGAAAUGCCUUUGUUUUCUUACUAUUCAAUCAUGGUAGUGGCUAAUGAUUGCAAUCAACUUUGCAAAAAGAAAUCUUUGACCGAUAUCUGUGAACCAACAUUUAGUAAAGUUCACAAAGAAAGUGCUACAAAAAUAUUGACUUGAAGUUGUAAGAAACUGAGUUCGAGAGUCUAUAGAAACCUUAGCCCAAUGUUUUAUUUGCUGGCUUCAUGGAUACAUGUGCUUAUUCAUGACUCAUAAAGCAUGAAGGUUUAUUUCCAUAUAAACUUAAAUUUUGUACUGAGUUGAUUUUUGUUGUUUAAAAAGAGCAGUCACUGCUUCUGAUUGAAAAAUCAAGUGACCAUUGUCCAUUCACAAAUAAUGAUAUCAACUGAACAGAAUAAAGCUAUCAUCUUUACAUUUUUACCACAAAAAAUAAAAUAAAAGAAUAAAGCUAUCACAAAAUUGGAAAACUUACCGGCGGUAACGGUGAAAGCGAAUUGCAACAAUAGAAAAAAACAUCAAUAGUGGAAAGGAAGACUCUUUAUUAGAAUAUAGGCUUUUAACUAAAUUGGGGUUUAAUUGAAAUUAAACUGAUGACCCAUAUGUGGUCUCAUCUUAGGGGUGUUCAAUCCGGAUAUCGGUUCGGUUUAGGUUUGGUUUUUUUUUAUUUUCGGUAUUUCGGUUAGUAAAAUAUAACUACCAUUCUAAAUCCAUAUUUACUUCGGUUCGGUUCGGUUUAUAUACCGUCGGUUUUCGGUUUAUUCGGUUUUAUACCAAAAAACAUAAUUAUUUAGUUUGAGAUCAUAUUAUAUGAAUUUUAGAGUCAUAUUGUCAACACAGUCAUUUAUUAAAAAUAUAUUACAUGUUCAAAUAAAUGAACAAAAAAGUAAAAAUGCUUCUACCAUCAAAUAAAAUAAUCAAAUCUAUAACUAAAAUCAAAACUUGAAAUUUUGAAAAUAAAAAUAUGAAACAAAAUAGAAACAUGAAAGAAAAGUUUUUCCACUCUUCCAUAUUUAGUGUUCAUUAAAGUCAUGUUUUUUUCAAUUGAACACGAAACUCUCUUUGUUUACAGAUUAGAAAAAAUUUGUGAAAAUUUUUCAUUAGUUAUUGUCCAUCAAAUUUAUAAUCUUCAUAUUAAUUUAGUGAAGACUAAAAUAAAGCAAAAAGAUCAAAAGAAGACUUAGAAAAUAAGAUGUAUGAAUUGCGAUGUAUUGUUAUUUAAUUAUAGUUCAAGUGUUUUACAAAUUAAGGUUCUUUAUUACUAUAAAAUUAUGGUAAUAGUUAUUAACACAAAUUUAACUUAUGUAACAAAUAGAUUUUCAUGUAUUGUUAUAAAAUAGAUACAUAUUUACAUGUUUCUACUUUUAAUCGGUUUUGUUCGGUUUAUUCGGUUUAAUCGUUUAUAUACCAAACCAUAUCCAAAUCCUACGGUUUUUAUAAAAUUAUAUCCAUUCGGUUUAUAUGGUAUAUACCAAAACCAAACCAUAUUGUCUAUUUCGGUUCGGUUCGGUUCGGUUCGGUUCGGUACGGUUCGGUUUUACGAUAUUGAACAGCCCUAUCUCUUCUUAUCUACAUCAAUAUUUCUUUGAUUAAAAAAUUAUAAGUCAUGAAAUUGAUCAAAAUGAUUUUUCUUUGGUCAUUGUUUGAGUGUAACAAUUCAGUUUCAUUAUUAUAUUCGUUACUUCAUCUCAACCCAAAUGUUUCUUCAGUGAAUAUUAAACUAUUAGUUUUUUACACACACACGACUUUACCUUUCAUAUUGUUUGAUUUGGUUCGCGUUAAGAAAAAAUGUUUUGUAUUUGAGAAUUUUAUCCUUAAUUGUAUUGAAUCAAACCUUUCUUUAUAGAAUAGGAUGUAUUCAGGUAGGUUUGAUAUUGUGUACAUAGUUUUAGAUGAUGAAAAACAAAUAAUGAAUCGUUUAAUAUAUCUACUUUUUCAUAUUUAUCCACAUUCACUUUAUACAAAUUUGAAACAUGUGGCUACAGCCUACAGCCCUUACAUACGUGCAGAGAGGCCAUAUUUUGUUAAAGAGGGAUCUCUACGGCUUCGGUGUUGUGCUCAACCAGAUUAUAACCCGACGACCGAACAAAUGAGAGAAACAAACUUAAGGAUUAAUGGCUCCACAAUAACUACGCAGCUGCAUGAGAAUUGAGUUUGGAUAGACUUGCUGAUCUCUGUUUGAAAAGAACGCUACCUAUCAGCCCAAGAUGAAGGUUGUAGUAGAAAACUUGAUGAAGAUUAUCAACGAAUCAGAGAGUGAAAUCGUUAGAUGGCCAUGAGUAAGGAAAGUAGUGAACUAAGAAGCAAGAGUCAAGCCACAUGAGACGUGAAGGGAAGGAAUUAGUGUUGGAAUACAAUUUUUGCGUUUUGAAGAUUUUUUGCAUGUUUCAUAAAAUAUAUAAUUCAAUUAAAGGCAAUUUAGUGGUUCAUACGAGUAAUUGGUCUGUCAAAUAUAUCAAUGACACUACUUCAAUAUCAAAUCCCAAAGCUUGGUUUGCUAAAAUUAUAGAAUAAAUGACAAUGGAAAAGCUUCGUAUAAAUUCUAAUACUUGAACAUGUUAUUUUAUGUUAUAUAUAUAUUUAUUUCGCUAUCCAGAAGAAGCACUAACAAAUGUACUCAUGUAUGCCAUGAACUUUAUAAUUCAUACAUGCAUUAUAUUUUAUCAACUCUCACACUUUCAAAAUUUUAAAGUCUAUAAAAACGAGAAAAAUAACUAUGGAGUUCAUGAAUUUUUAAUACAGACUUUAGACGACAUGGAACAAAAAUUUGAAAAGGCAAAAAAAAAAUUCAAACACUUAUAAAAGUAAGAUAAAUAAUAUUAGAUCCUGAAACAUGUUUACAAUUCAACCAGUUAAAUACCAUCAUUAAAUGUCUGUAUAAGUUGAUGAUAAAAAAAAAAAAUACCAUAAUUGAAAUUUAAUUAAUUUUUGCUCAUUCAGCUAAUCACCUUAUAUAUAAUUUCUAGUAACCAAAGAAAAUUGAAUACUCAAAUUUUUGAAUUGCAUAAGAGAAAAGCAAUGAAAGAUUUAAAAUUAUUUUAUAUUUGUCUAUAGCUAUUUAUAUUUUUAUAAUAGAUUCAAAAAUUUAUAUAUUAAAAUAAACAUACUAAAUAAUAUUGAAUCAAAAUUAAAAUUUAAACAAAAAAUCCGGACGUAGCCCGGGCCGGCCCUAGUAAAGUAUAAAGAUCAAGUUAUAGACAGAUUCAGAGCAUUUAUCACACAUCCAUAGUAUCUAUAUAUCUUACAAUUAAGCACCAAAAUUUAAUAUAUCAUUUGCGGCUCUUUGGAAUUUCUUUAAAGACAUUUGAUACAUGUAUGGAUCUAUUAGUAUGCAUCUAAAGUGUUGGACAGUAAAUAGAACAUCAAAAGCUGUGAUGCUUGAAUAUGUAAUAUCACUAGCCCAUUUCAAAGCCCAUAUUAUUAUUUACCUGAAUAUGUAAUAUCGGUUAGGUCUGCUUGCAUGAUAUGAUGAUAAACAGCUACUCUGAGGGAAAUAUCUUCUCUUUCUAGAAUAAUUUUAUUGGAGAACAAACAAAACGAAGUAUACAAAAGUUUGUAUAUAAUUAAUCAGGACAAAGAUACUUGAUCAAUAUUGUCAGUAGACUCAAUACCACAAAAUAAAUGUAUAAGAAUAAGAUACAUCCUCAAUAUUCAGACCAACAUAUAGUUAUAUUUUUCGAGAAUAGAAAGUAUAUUAUCCAAUUCACGAAAAUGUUAUUUAAGCAACAAAAAUCCAAUCAAACACACACAAAAAGGAUUUAGAAACAUAAAUAAGAUUUGAAACAAAUAUCAAAUAUAAUUACUUCCACACUGACGAGAUUCAUCAAGGUCAUCAGUUGAAUCUCCUGCAGUUUCUCCUAAUCUCACCAGCACGACCGGUAAGCACAUCAACGGCUCCCAUCUUUAUCAUUGCCCUAACAAACUGACGUUUGAAGAAGGCAUUAUUGCUAGCAUAUCGAGCCACAACACCACGAGUUUGACGGUCUGUUGCGAGCCGCUGGUCAACCUGCAUCACUCCUCUCCUUUUACGGAGCUGCUUGAAGAAUUGGUUGUCGAACCUUAGUGGAGUCGACUGGUCUAGUGCCGCUGACGCGCUGUUUCUACAUGUGUUCCUUAAGCUACAUUACAAGAAAAAUAACACAUUCAGAUUAUUAUUCUACAAGUUCAAAUACUAAAUUUCGUUUUGAAUUUAAAAGUAAUUUGCUCAAGUUUUCAUGCAAAAAUUGUUUUCCCAACUUUACUGAGAAAAAAAUUGUUCGAAAAAAUCCAACUUCUUAGAAUUUUAAAACGUAGAAUACGGGUUUUUAGGUAAUGCCAACCAUGAAAUAUGUCAUAUGUUAAAUGGGUACUUCGUGAAGUUUUCAGAAUUUAUAUAAUUGAAUUUGCAACAAUUUUACUGCUCUAACUAGGAUAAAAUAAUACUCAAAAUUUUCUCAAAGUUAGAAUUUUUGUUCAUUCUUAAGUAAUUUUUUUCAAAAAAAUUAAUCUUAAAUUUUGUUGGUAAUUGACUGAACCGACUGAGCAGGUUUAAAAAUUACCUGGAAACCAAAGCUGGGUCCAUGGCCGGGAUAAUCCGAGGGAACAGUUCCGUCGGUAUAUUCCUAUCGAUCGAUGUAUAUAUGUCUAAAACGCAUCGAUCGAUGAACGUCCGAGGAAAUAUCCCGACGAAGUUCUCCCUCGGUAUAUUCCGAGGACAUUUCCGACAAAAUAAUGGUCCUCGGAAUUUCCUCGGAAAUUUGUUUCCUCGGAAUUCCGUCGGAAAAUUCCGAGGGAUUUCCGACGAAAGAAGAAAUUCCGAGGAAUUAUUUCCGACGACUUGUUUCGUCGGUAUGUCGUCGGAAUAACGGUAUUCCGACGAAAUUCCGACGAUUUUUUCCCUCAGAAUCUUUGAUGUUUUCUUGUAGUGUUGGACCCGUAGACAGAUCCUUCUCCAAAAAUACUCUGGAGAUUUUGCAAACAAAGGUUUGCUUCUCCGUCUCCGGUAAACACAUCAGAUCUGCUCUCUCGAGACGGCAUGGCUCUGUGAAGCAGAACUCUGCGACGAUCCCUGAAUAUAGCAAAGCGGAAGGAGGCGGAGUGGUUUUGGAUACGAGCUUUGGUGAUGAAUUUGGUCGUGCCCAUUUUGGAUACACACCUACUGUUAAGUUUAAGAAAGGUGAUAACAAAGGACUACAAGUUGCUGUAAAAGUUAUUCCAAAACCAAAGGUUAGUGUUUUUUGAUUUAGUGUCUUCUGGUUCUGUACUAAUGAUGAUGAGAUCUGUUGGAUUUUUUUUUUGUAAUUUGUGUAGUUGUGUGGAGAGAAAUGAAGAUCUUGAGAGCUCUGUCUGGUCAUGAUAACCUUCCUCAUUUCUAUGAUGCAUAUGAGGAUCAUUGAUAAUGUCUAUAGUGAAUGUAGUGAUAAUGCAAGUGAUUUGUUGUUUUAGGCUACGUGAAGGAGGAGAGCUUUUCGAUAGAUACUUUCAAGGUAAGGGAACAAUACACUUCCGACAUAGGAUCCGACGUAGGAUUGUAUGUGCUAUACUGAACUUGGUGGUGUGUUUUAUGUGCAGAGGUGGGAAGUAUAUGAGUAGGACGCAAAGACUGUUAUGAUUCAAAAAAA